UACGGAGGGAGCUAGCGUUGUUCGGAAUUACUGGGCGUAAAGCGCACGUAGGCGGCUUUGUAAGUUAGAGGUGAAAGCCCGGGGCUCAACCCCGGAAUUGCCUUUAAGACUGCAUCGCUUGAAUCCGGGAGAGGUGAGUGGAAUUCCGAGUGUAGAGGUGAAAUUCGUAGAUAUUCGGAAGAACACCAGUGGCGAAGGCGGCUCACUGGGCCGGUAUUGACGCUGAGGUGCGAAAGCGUGGGGAGCAAACAGG
rnacentral:rRNA from 1 species